rnacentral:rRNA from 1 species
UACGAAGGGGGCUAGCGUUGCUCGGAAUCACUGGGCGUAAAGGGUGCGUAGGCGGGUCUUUAAGUCAGGGGUGAAAUCCUGGAGCUCAACUCCAGAAUUGCCUCGAUACUGGCUUUCUAGAGGCUGGAAGAGGUUAGUGGAAUUCCCAGUGUAGAGGUGAAAUUCGUAGAUAUUGGGAAGAACACCAGUGGCGAAGGCGGCUAACUGGUCCAGAUCUGACGCUGAGGUGCGAAAGCGUGGGGAGCAAACAGGGAUUAGAAACCCCGGUGAGC